UACAUGGGGUGCAAACGUUGCUCGGAAUCAUUGGGCGUAAAGCGCACGUAGGCGGUUCGUUAUGUCGGAUGUGAAAGCCCUCGGCUUAACCGGGGAAGUGCAUCCGAUACUGGUUGGCUUGAGUUUGGGAGAGGGAUGCGGAAUUCCAGGUGUAGCGGUGAAAUGCGUAGAUAUCUGGAGGAACACCGGUGGCGAAGGCGGCAUCCUGGACCAAUACUGACGCUGAGGAGCGAAAGCCAGGGGAGCAAACGGG
rnacentral:rRNA from 1 species